rnacentral:rRNA from 1 species
CGCCGGCGAGUGGCGAACGGGUGAGUAAUGCAUCGGAACGUACCCAGUAGUGGGGGAUAACUUACCGAAAGGUAAGCUAAUACCGCAUACGCACUGAGGUGGAAAGCAGGGGACCGCAAGGCCUUGCGCUAUUGGAGCGGCCGAUGUCGGAUUAGCUAGUUGGUGGGGUAAAGGCCUACCAAGGCGACGAUCCGUAGCGGGUCUGAGAGGAUGAUCCGCCACACUGGAACUGAGACACGGUCCAGACUCCUACGGGAGGCAGCAGUGGGGAAUUUUGGACAAUGGGCGCAAGCCUGAUCCAGCCAUGCCGCGUGAGUGAAGAAGGCCUUCGGGUUGUAAAGCUCUUUCGGCCGGGAAGAAAUCGUGGUGGCUAAUACCUGCCAUGGAUGACGGUACCGGACUAAGAAGCACCGGCUAACUACGUGCCAGCAGCCGCGGUAAUACGUAGGGUGCGAGCGUUAAUCGGAAUUACUGGGCGUAAAGCGUGCGCAGGCGGUUGUGUAAGACAGGCGUGAAAUCCCCGGGCUCAACCUGGGAACUGCGCUUGUGACUGCACGGCUAGAGUACGGCAGAGGGGGGGUGGAAUUCCACGUGUAGCAGUGAAAUGCGUAGAGAUGUGGAGGAACACCGAUGGCGAAGGCAGCCCCCUGGGUCGAUACUGACGCUCAUGCACGAAAGCGUGGGGAGCAAACAGGAUUAGAUACCCUGGUAGUCCACGCCCUAAACGAUGUCGACCAGUUGUUGGAGGGGUAAAACCCUUUAGUAACGUAGCUAACGCGUGAAGUCGACCGCCUGGGGAG